UGGGGUGUGGCUCAGCGGUAGAGCACUUGCCUCCUAUGUGUGAGGCACUGAGUUCCAUCCUCAGCACCACAU
rnacentral:tRNA from 1 species